GGAAUAAAAGUCGUAACAAGGUUUCCGUAGGUGAACCUGCGGAAGGAUCAUUCAUAAUAAGUGUUUUAUGGCACUUUUUUAAAUCCAUAUCCACCUUGUGUGCAAUGUCAGGGUUGAUUUUUCUCUCGAGAGGAUCAACCCCAAACAUCAACUAUAUCUCAACUCUUUGUCUGAAAAAUAUUAUGAAUAAAACAAUUCAAAAUACAACUUUCAACAACGGAUCUCUUGGCUCUC
rnacentral:misc_RNA from 1 species